rnacentral:rRNA from 1 species
AUUGAACGCUGGCGGCAGGCUUAACACAUGCAAGUCGAGCGGGGUGAUGGUGCUUGCACUAUCACUUAGCGGCGGACGGGUGAGUAAUGCUUAGGAAUCUGCCUAUUAGUGGGGGACAACAUCUCGAAAGGGAUGCUAAUACCGCAUACGUCCUACGGGAGAAAGCAGGGGAUCACUUGUGACCUUGCGCUAAUAGAUGAGCCUAAGUCGGAUUAGCUAGUUGGUGGGGUAAAGGCCUACCAAGGCGACGAUCUGUAGCGGGUCUGAGAGGAUGGUCCGCCACACUGGGACUGAGACACGGCCCAGACUCCUACGGGAGGCAGCAGUGGGGAACAUGGGACAAUGGGGGGAACCCUGAUCCAGCCAUGCCGCGUGUGUGAAGAAGGCCUUAUGGUUGUAAAGCACUUUAAGCGAGGAGGAGGCUCUUUUGGUUAAUACCCAAGAUGAGUGGACGUUACUCGCAGAAUAAGCACCGGCUAACUCUGUGCCAGCCGCCGCGGUAA